UCAUUGUCGUUUAAGGGCUAAGUUGUUCAAUUUCGAUUUUCAAGCGUUAAUGUCAGUCUUACAGGAGCAUAGGCAAGUCUCCGCGUUGGACUGGAGCGCGCCACAAACGUUGAACUCACCUGCAAAUGGACAUCUUUGCGCAUCUAAAAUUGCUAUCACAGGCCACUUGGAUGAUAUUACGGUCACGACGCCUUACGAAUGGGGCGAGUCAACUUAAAUCGUGCGCGCUAUUCGAUAAAGCGAACUCGACCCAUUCCAACGCAGUUGGCUUGGAAGAUGAAUUGCCGAUAGGUGACAACUUUAUUCC